UACGUAGGGGGCAAGCGUUGUCCGGAAUCAUUGGGCGUAAAGAGCGUGUAGGCGGCCUGAUAAGUCUGCCGUGAAAGUCCAGGGCUCAACCCUGGGAUGCCGGUGGAUACUGUCAGGCUGGAGUCCGGAAGAGGCGAGUGGAAUUCCUGGUGUAGCGGUGAAAUGCGCAGAUAUCAGGAGGAACACCGAUGGCGAAGGCAGCUCGCUGGGACGGUACUGACGCUGAGACGCGAAAGCGUGGGGAGCAAACAGG
rnacentral:rRNA from 1 species